ACAUCAUCAUAAGUGAAGGGCUACAGCAAUAGAAACCUGCCUCUUGUAAUUGUGUAGCUGCACAGCUACUGGGUUAAACACUCUUUAAAUAAAGGCUGAAGACAGGGGAUUGCCUUUGAAAUUUUUACUGGAUGUUAAUGCACUACUGCUUUGUCAUUUUCAGAUUUCACAAGACUUCUCGUGUUGAUCCCCGACCAUGCAGAGAGGCUAUUUGCAGAAGACAAAAUCCUGCACUUCACCAGCCAGGAGAGAAAGGCUCAGGAGCUUCUCUCCAACAUAGACAAUUUGUCUCCAGAAGCCCAAGCUGAUGUUGCACUCAGACUGCUUUGUGUGAUCUUGCCAACCCUGUCUACAAAAGUGGGAAGAAAAUGUUCAAAACAAGUUUGGAAGAAAAAAGUCUUUCAUUGAAUUCAAGCAUGUUGGGACCAACAUGGCUGAAUACUUAUGGGAGGCUGAGAUCGCUAAACCCAUCCCCUUUGUCCUUGGCCUCAGAGACAACAGUCAGUGCCAUCAAGCCUUUGUUGUUGUUGGCAGACAGGCACUACAGCAAAACAAUCUCCUUGGUGCUGUGGACACAUGCUUUAAACUUUUUUAUAUUUUGGACAUUCAUUUCCCAAAGCAGUGUGCACCAGUGUGGGAGUUUCUGCAGACCGUUGUCUACAAACUCCCAGGAACAAAAUCCCCUUCAAUAAGACUGCUGCAUGGUUAUUUUUCAUGCUAAGCUGUACUGGAACCACAACAUUUGUUAUGUGAGUUUGUAUGAAGAAGAAAGUUGUCAAACCUACCUUAAUAAUUUUUUAUAUACAGGUGCAUCUCAAUAAAUUAGAAUG